rnacentral:pre_miRNA from 1 species
AAAAAGACAAACCCUAGGUUUCCGUGUCUAACGUUUGACUGUCUGUCUUAUAUGAAAUUCUUUUAUAAUUAGUAUUUUUAUUAUUGUUAGAUGAUAAAACAUGAUUAAUACUUUAUAUGUGACGUGUCUUUUUAAUUUUUUUUUAAUAUUUUAUGUUAGACACGGAAACCCAGGGUUUGUCCUUUU